rnacentral:rRNA from 1 species
UACGGAGGGUGCGAGCGUUGUCCGGAAUCACUGGGCGUAAAGGGCGCGUAGGCGGCGCGGGGAGUCAACGGUGAAAGCUCGGCGCUCAACGCCGAGUCGGCCGUCGAUACUCCCGUGCUCGAGCACUGUAGAGGCAGGUGGAAUUCCGGGUGUAGCGGUGGAAUGCGUAGAGAUCCGGAGGAACACCAAAGGCGAAGGCAGUGUCCUGGGGAGUACCUGACGCUCAGGUGCGAAAGCCAGGGGAGCGAACGGG